rnacentral:snoRNA from 15 species
UUGCGAAUAUUCUCGCUGGCCUGAUAUUACUGUGAUCUGGUCAGGCUAGACAUUCGCUAGAUUAAGACCAUGCAUUGUGCCUCCAGAACUAGUUCUCUUCCCUAGUUUUGGUUUUAUAAAUGCUGGUAACAAAC